GAAAUCUAAGCAGAGACCAUAAAGGCUUUCAGGACUACACAAUGAUACAUCCGUUGCUAGGAUUUCAACUCCCUAAAAACGACAUUUUUCUUCGCUGAAGAAUUCAUGUGUACACCAGACUAGGCACUACAAUAGACUGGAUAUCACUUCUAGUUGUCAAUGUGGUCAUGCAUCCGUAGCUUUUUAAAGAUGGCCACACUCUUGUUCCACUUUGACACACAUUCAGAGGCUACCGCGGUGUGUAAUCUGUUUGGCUUUGGGAUCCUUUCCUCAGAACUCAUAAAGGUUUAGUAUCAGGAAAGGCUUCUGUUGAAUUUUUUUUAAUUUUAUUUUGUUUUUCAAGUUUUCUUAUCAUAUCUACAGAAGAACAAGAAUUCUCCGAAAGAACAGCUCAUUUCUUAGAAUUCCCUGCUCUGUUUCUCCACCUGCGAGGUUGCGGCUAACGCCCUCUCUUACCUGCACUGGCCUGGUGGAAGUCGGCUUCCUCCCCUGCCCCGUCGAUGGCACUGGCGUUUUCCUCGGGCCUCUCAUUCGUCAUGGUCCUCCGGAUGCUCUGAUAACUGAAAGCAUGAACCUGGAGUUACAUGCCAGCCGCCGGAAGUUGCCCUAGAACCCAAAGUUCCAGGCCUCUCGACUUCAAGUGCUGGCUCCCAGGCUUCCGUCCUCCGCCUCAGGAUGCUCUCUGUCGCUUACAUGAAUGACGCCUCAUUGAAGUUCCGCCCUCCCAUGAGGAAUCCAGUUCAGUCUAUGACACACACAGCUCUGUGACCGGGACAUCAAAGCUGAAAGCAGCCGAGUCUUCUCCUCUGCACCGGGGGAAAAGCCCAACCACGAGACGGAGCAGAGAGAGAGUAUUUAGGGACAUGCUCACCGACGGUUCAGCUGUUCCAUCUGCUGGAUGGAGUUGGAUCUCUGCAGGACCUGGGGGGCGGGGGGAGCGGUGGGCCGCUGCCACGUCGUGGUUCUGUUCACAUGAUCCACGUAGAAGAUCCUGCCAUGGCUGUCAAUGCGGGCCUCCCAGUCUAAAGGGCAGGAAGGGCACAGAGAGAGAUGAGGAGGAGGAGCUGGGCCAGGAAGAUGGCUCAUUAAGUUCGGCGCAAGUUUUCCCUCCCUUGCACGCUAUAAUUUGUGGCUAAUAACACACACCUCACUGCGUAGUCUGGCGUUCCUCCCCAGUCCACUUGGAAAGCUGUCGUUACUGGUUAUUAAGUCUCCGAGGCACGGAGGAUACAGAACUCUUCAAGAAUUUCUAAAUCUAAAGCAUCUUUUCAUGUUGCCCGCCCUCGUCCCUCUUUACAUGUAAGCACCUGUUUUAAAAUGCAGGUGGUAUCGUUUUUUGAUCGUUUCACAUCAAAAAUGGUAUCGGUGUUUCCUUUCCACCCA